AUGUUAUCACGAAAGGCAGAGGGAUUAGACCCAAUGAAGCCUUAGCAACCCUUUAGCUUUAAAGAAGGUGCUAAAUUCUACCACGCCACCGGCAUGGAUAGAUAACAA
rnacentral:ncRNA from 1 species